rnacentral:rRNA from 1 species
UACGGAGGGUGCAAGCGUUGCUCGGAAUUAUUGGGCGUAAAGGGUAGGUAGGUGGUCUCAUUUGUCUGAGGUGAAAGCCUUGAGCUUAACUCAAGAAGUGCCUCAGAAACGGUGAGACUAGAGUCCUGGAGAGGGUCGUGGAAUUCCCGGUGUAGCGGUGAAAUGCGUAGAUAUCUGGAGGAACACCGGUGGCGAAGGCGGCAUCCUGGACCAAUAUUGACGCUGAGGAGCGAAAGCCAGGGGAGCAAACGGG